UGUCUGACCAGCAUCAUCCCUACAUAAGUGUUCUUCAGCGUUUCAACAACUCAGCAACUCUCACACUUCAAACUACUACAGAUCAAGGUAAGUGUGAUAUCCCUGAAAUAGCACAGAAAAGAUGUUAGCAUGGUAAGAAGUUACAACAGCUUAAAUCAUUGAUAAAUAUGGUAAAUAUGGUAAAUAUGGUGAAGGUAUCUUAGCAUAAAUUAAGUGAAUGUAUAUAUUAUAUUUUUCAAACGUUCAAAGAAGGUGACCUGAGGUUUCCAAAGAUUGAUGAAAACAAUCGAAAUAAACAGAUGGCACAGAUUAGAUGACAGAUAUCAGAUAUUGUCCUGUUCCAGAUGAUUGAAGGACAUGAUGAUGUCAAAAUAACUGUCACGUCCAGACCUUAGUUCCUUUGUUAUGUUUCUUGUUUAGGUUGGUCAGGGCGUGAGUUGGGGUGGGCAUUCUAUGUGUUGUUCUAGUUUGGGUUUUGUGUUUGGCCUGGUAUGGUUCUCAAUCAGAGGCAGCUGUCAAUCAUUGUCUCUGAUUGAGAUCCAUAUUUAGGUAGCCUGUUUUUCCCCACUUGAUUUGUGCGUAGUUGUUUUCUGUUUAGUGUAUGUCACCUUACAGAACUGUUUCGUUUCAUUCGCCGUUGUUAUUUUGUUUAGUGUUCUCUGUUUAAUAAAUAUUAACAUGGAGACGUACCACGCUGCAUAUUGGUCUGAUCGCUCCUACUCCUCCUCAGGCAAGGACGACGAACGUUACAAUAAGAUUCUCUAAUAAGACCUCAACAAAAGAACAUCUUACAUUCUCUAUUUUGACAUUUCCUGUCAACAUCAAAUGUCAUCAUGCUCCCAUUUUGUCCUUUCAAAGGUGAGAAGAGGACAGAGCAACGAAUUGUAGAAAUCUAAGGAUAAUGACAACUGACCAACAGUCGCAGAAUGGGGAACACCAACACUGCCAGCCACCUCAACAACCAGAGCAAGAUGAACAUCCGUGCUUUCCUGUCCAAUGCCAAGCUAGAGAUCGAUGCCUUCAUCGUCUCCAAUGCUGCCGCUGGCAGCAGUGACACAUUGACCAAGCUGCAGCAGCAGCCCGGUGGCAAGACGUUCAACUUCAGGAAAGACGUGCAGUGUGUCCGUGUGCUGGCCUUGCAGAGUCAAGAGCUGCCUUGGGUGGAGAACAAAUUUAUCUCCGUCUUUGUGGAGGACGAGAACGAUGAAAACAUAUGUUCCAGACAGAUUGUUCCGUGCAUGGCUUUGUCCUCUCCUGUGUCUUUCAUCUUAUAUAUGAUGUAUAGCUAUAGCAAUGAUUGAUCCCAUUGAAAUUGUACUCUUUGGUUAAUAUCAUUAGAAGGUGCUCUGACCAGUUCCGACAUUGGCCAUUGUCAGGCAUUCACUAAGGUUGUUUCCCUGAUUUUGAAUCUGUUCAUUUGAACAAACAUGCCAUUGAAAAAGAAGGCUUUUCAAAUAAGUCAUCACAGAACAAACCACAAAACACCUCACGAAUGUGAAAAUGCGCAUUUGUACCUGAACAUUUGAAUGUUGACUCAUCUUUCAGUGAAAUGUAACUAAAUCUAUGUCACUUCUUUAGGGACUUUGGUAUCAUUGACAGCUUCUGAAAAACCUGUAUUCUUCUGUAUCCUUCAAAUAAAACUGUUAGAUGACU
ensembl:lncRNA